ensembl:lncRNA
CAGGACUGUGGCUGUCCGAAUCGACUUCCUCUUGCUCUGCUCCCUCCCCACCCACCCCCGCGACUUCUGGGAGCCUGGAGUCAGGCCUUGAGCUAAGAGCCCUAGGAAAAGUCCGAGCCAGAGGGCCAAGAAGGGGGCGCCCCGCUGAGUACCCAAGUCUGCAGCGCAGGAAGUUCAGCUUCCGCACCCGAGAGGCAUCACCCAGGGAGAUGACAGAGGAGAAGGCGGCCACGGAACCCAGGAGACCUCAGGGCGGAGGUGAUCUUGCUUUUCUCCGGAGGGCGGCUGGUUUGUCAAAGACUGCCCAAGCCCUCUAGGGGCUUCCAAGGGAGGGAAGGGAGAGAGAUGUGUUAGAAGCGUCUCUGCACAGUGGAGCUGAGAUUUCCCAGGACGUCUCCCACAGUGCUUUCCAUCAGCCGAACCCAACUGCAAGUAAGAGGACAAGAGACCCGUGAUUCAGUCCAUACAGGUUGACCUCCCUGGGGCAUGGGAGAGGAUGGAGGAGAAUAGAGAAUGGAUCUGGAAAAGAAAACAGAAAACAUUCAGCACACGUGUUAUCUCAGUUUGGACAAUUAGCUCUUCUUGCUCUAGAACUUGAAAUUGAAAACAGAGAGACAGAGAAAUUGUCAUUAAAAAUGAAUACCGUUAAUGGUGCAUGACAGAAUGUCCACCAGUUUCUGCUGCCGAAGAAUCUUGACCUUUUCUGCUUCCAUUUCUUCUACAAAUUGGUUGCUCAGUGAUCCAGGAUGUUUCCAAUAUGUCUCUUACUUCUGCCUAAUACGAUGGAAGUCAUUUACUGUCACUUAUAACUGAAAGGUCCCUAAUGAAGCAAUGCCCAAAUUUUUAGUAUUGGCAUUUAGAUCACUGCAUUUAUGGCUACAUUCCCAACUGUACUCAAGAAAAGGACUUAUGUAGAAGAAGAGGAAGCGGAGGAGAAAGGGGAGGAAAGAGAGGAGAUCGGGGAAAGAAGGAGAAGGGAAGGAGGAGGAAGGGUGGGAAAGGGAAUAGAAAGAGAACAAGAACACAAAUGAUUAUAAAUACUUGGAAAGUAGGAACUUCUUCAAUAUGAUCCUGCUGAGAACCACUGUCCCAUCACCCACAUUCUCAGAUGGCUCUUUUGGAGAAAAACUUAAUUAUUGGGUUCUAAUUUUUUAGAGUUAGCUAUUUUGCUUAAUUGAAUUUGCUAGUUAACUGUCCAUAACCUUUGAAUUUUAAUCUAAGCCAUAUUACCUGAAAUCUUAUAUAGAUCUGCAGCAGUUGCUUGAGAUCCCUAAAGGGCAGA